rnacentral:rRNA from 1 species
CAGCAGCCACGGUAAUACGUAGGGUGCAAGCGUUAAUCGGAAUUACUGGGCGUAAAGCGUGCGCAGGCGGUUUGUUAAGACAGAUGUGAAAUCCCCGGGCUCAACCUGGGAACUGCAUUUGUGACUGGCAAGCUAGAGUCUGGCAGAGGGGGGUGGAAUUCCGCGUGUAGCAGUGAAAUGCGUAGAUAUGCGGAGGAACACCGAUGGCGAAGGCAGCCCCCUGGGCCAACACUGACGCUCAUGCACGAAAGCGUGGGGAGCAAACAGGAUUAGAUACCCCUGUAGUCCCUGUCUCUUAUAC